GCUUUCUCCAGUGUGGAUUUAACCAUAAGCUUGUCCUGUUUGACGAACGAGCCCUAAAGCUGAUCUGCCCCACAACAGGUUACCCAAAGCAAGGACUCAUCAUGAACCGCCAAUGCAGAAACAAUAUGACUUUCUUUUGAAAACAGAGAGCCCUUUCAGUAGUUUAUUAUCCCAUCUGUAAAUGUCCAGAAGUUUCACCUGAAUAUAAAGAUCAAUAGGUUUUGUUUUAUUUUGUUUUUGCUGGUGGUGUCUUGUUCAGAUGAUGAGAUUUGAAGAGUUUUCUGUCUUCAUUGAUCAGUAAUGUUCCUCUGAUGUGGAGAUGUUUAUGAACCAGGAUUAUGCUGUGGACAUGACAGAUGAGCGGUGUUUUACUGAGAUAAAGUGAAGCUCUUUGACCCAGUGGACUGCUGCUGAGACUUCAUCAUGACUGAGGACAUCAAUCUGAGUUUCAGGCCUAUAGAGACGGGCGGAGAAAUACUGUGUCCAGUCCUGUAUGUGCUAUCUUUAUUUUGCAAUACAAGAGACAUUUUAAGAUAAUACUAAAAACUGUCUUUGUCUGUCUUCAGGUCACCACUCUUUUAUAAAAUAUAAAUUCAUUUAUUUGUUACAUAAUGCGUCAGAAAGUCAAGUUGGCUUUGUUCGAGUAAAUUAUUGACUGGGGACAGAUUCACAAAAAUACAAAUAAUGAUGAAAAAGUUCAAGUGAUGUCUUAUGAAAAACCAAGCUGAUGGAUUUAAUCCUCUGGUGUAUUUGAGCAUCUACUCGACUCUGAGAAGCUGACAUUUGCUUUGUUGUUAUUAUUAUUCUUUCAUUUUAUAUUUAUUCAGUAGAAAUGUUAAUCGGUCCGGCUCGACGGUGUUAAUGUUAUAAAGAGAUGUUUAGUCUUUCCUUGUUAAUCCUAUUAGUGUCUGAAUGAAUGAAUAGAAUUGA